GUGGGGAAUUUUGGACAAUGGGCGCAAGCCUGAUCCAGCAAUGCCGCGUGCAGGAAGACGCAUCUAUGGUGUGUAAACUGCUUUUGUACGGGAAGAAACACUCCCUCGUGAGGGAGCUUGACGGUACCGUAAGAAUAAGGAUCGGCUAACUCCGUGCCAGCAGCCGCGGUAAUACGGAGGAUCCAAGCGUUAUCCGGAAUCAUUGGGUUUAAAGGGUCCGUAGGCGGUUUAAUAAGUCAGUGGUGAAAGCCCAUCGCUCAACGAUGGAACGGCCAUUGAUACUGUUAGACUUGAAUUACAAGGAAGUAACUAGAAUAUGUAGUGUAGCGGUGAAAUGCUUAGAUAUUACAUGGAAUACCAAUUGCGAAGGCAGGUUACUACUUGUGGAUUGACGCUGAUGGACGAAAGCGUGGGGAGCGAACAGGAUUAGAUACCCGUGUAGUCC
rnacentral:rRNA from 1 species